rnacentral:tRNA from 1 species
GCCCGAAUGGCGGAAUUGGUAGACGCGCUUGGUUCAGGUCCAAGUGUCCAAAAGACAUAGGAGUUCAAGUCUCCUUUCGGGUA